UAUUAUCAACUGCCAAAACCUUUGUGUUCUUGGUGGGCUUGGUCUUGAGGGUUAUUGCAGGCUCUUUGUGAGUUAGCUCCCUUUAAAUCUAUUAGCGAGACUUCCCUGUGCUGAACUUGUAAUCUUGACGUGAUAGUCUAUCUGCGUUAAAUUUUGAAGAGUUCUCGUUGGGCUUGCUUCUAAUCGUCUACUUUUGGACAAUUGGAAUUGAGUGCAUAUAUGCACUCUUUUUCAAACCCA
rnacentral:misc_RNA from 1 species